rnacentral:rRNA from 1 species
CACGUAGGGCGCAAGCGUUGUCCGGAAUUAUUGGGCGUAAAGAGCUCGUAGGCGGUCUGUUGCGUCCGCUGUGAAAACUCGGGGCUUAACCCCGAGCCUGCAGUGGAUACGGGCAGACUAGAGGUAGGUAGGGGAGAAUGGAAUUCCCGGUGUAGCGGUGAAAUGCGCAGAUAUCGGGAGGAACACCGGUGGCGAAGGCGGCCUUCUGGACAGUGACUGACGCUGAGACGCGAAAGCGUGGGGAGCAAACAGG